rnacentral:lncRNA from 1 species
GAAGAAGGGAUAUCAGAUUAUCUAUAAUCAUUACCUGCAGGGAGAUUUCUCUCUGAACAUCACUGAUGCUGAUUUCAGUAAGAGAGGAUAUUACACAUGUGACUGUGGUAAUAAGGAUAUCUGUGAUGUGCGUCUUCAGAUCGAGAGUAAGUGUUCAGCUGUUAUUUCAGUAAUAAAAUCUGGGUAAAAAUGAUUUGUAGGAAAGUUAAGGUUAAAAUGUGCUUGUGUUUCUCCUCAGCUUUGAACUCCACAGUUCUUAUAAAACCUGGAGAUCCUCUGUUUCUGGAAAUGGACGUGACGGACCCAGUUAAGGUGUAUUAUAAUAAUAGUGAUGGUGUUGGUCUGUCACGUACUCCGGUCUGUACAGUGAAUGAGCUGCGGUGUAAUAAUAAUUACUCUCAGAGAGUGGUCUCUGCUGUACAGCUGAAGGAAAUUAAGACGUCUGACAGCGGAGUUUACACCAUCCGCGACUCCAGCAACGAACACGCGAUCCAUGUCUACACAGUGUCCGUCCAAGACAACCCACAGCCACACCCACACACAGACCCGGAUAAAGGAGCGGCGGUGUCGGGGUGGGCGUGGCUGUCAGUGGGCGUGAAUGGGCUGCUGGUUCUGGUUCUGAUUGGGUUGGUGGUGAUGAUGUCUGUGAGGAGGAGUAACACAACGGAGUGUUUCCUGAUGAACAAAUUACCAGCACGUGGAGAAGAAGAGGAAAGUCUGUCACAUGACCCCUAACUUUCAGAGGGUGUUCCCUUUCUCAGUCUUCUCCUCUUUUCUAUUUUCACUCAAAUACAGAUCUUUAGUAUAGACCCGCCCAUCUCUAACUGGUGUAUUCUUAGAUACAUCUAAACAUUAGCACUGACAUUUACUGUAUUACUGUAUUUACUAUAUUACUGUUUCACUUAAACUUCAGAUCCUGUAUCAUGCUGCAUCUCCAUCAGCAGCCGGAGUCUGAGAGAGAGAGUACAGUUGGUGAUGCUCUCUCUGGGUGGGUACACUCCGACUGUAAUAUUGGUCAGGACAGGCAUCUGUUAGCUGAUGUUUCAGAGCUGGGGAUCCGGUGCUUUCCUUUGAUGCUACAUGCGACAUUUGGAAAAGGGGCAGGGUCUGACUUCACAUGUAUCGGAGGAGACAGGCACUGGUCCUCAUUCUCCUAGUGUCAGAGCAUUACUAAUGAUAAGGAUGAGUCCUAAUAAAUGGGUGGGGUAAAUACA